CUUUAGAAAGUAUUAUGUACAUUUGCCUUCCAAGCAAAAGGACUAACAGAGUUAGCCUAAAGA
rnacentral:tRNA from 1 species